AGAGUUUGAUCAUGGCUCAGGAUGAACGCUAGCGGCAGGCCUAAUACAUGCAAGUCGAGGGGCAGCGCAGUGUAGCAAUACAUGGGCGGCGACCGGCAAACGGGUGCGGAACACGUACGCAACCUUCCUUUAAGUGGGGAAUAGCCCAGAGAAAUUUGGAUUAAUACCCCGUAAGAUGGUGGUCUGGCAUCAGACAGCCAUUAAAGCUGAGGCGCUUAAAGAUGGGCGUGCGUCUGAUUAGGUAGUUGGUGAGGUAAUGGCUCACCAAGCCGACGAUCAGUAACUGGCGUGAGAGCGCGACCAGUCACACGGGCACUGAGACACGGGCCCGACUCCUACGGGAGGCAGCAGUAAGGAAUAUUGGUCAAUGGACGCAAGUCUGAACCAGCCAUGCCGCGUGAAGGAUGAAGGUCCUCUGGAUUGUAAACUUCUUUUAUGUGGGAAGAAACCACCUUUUUCUAAGGGUGUUGACGGUACCAUAGGAAUAAGCACCGGCUAACUCCGUGCCAGCCGCCGCGGUAAUUC
rnacentral:rRNA from 1 species